rnacentral:rRNA from 1 species
GACGAACGCUGGCGGCGUGCCUAAUACAUGCAAGUCGAACGCAGUGGGGACGGGUGAGUAACACGUGCGUAACAUCCCAUCAGCGGGGAUAACACUUGGAAACAGGUGCUAAACCGCUACUGAUGGAUGGACCCGCGGUGAAUUAGCUAGUUGGUGAGGUAACGGCUCACCAAGGCCACGAUGCAUAGCCGACCGAAGAGGGGGAUCGGCAACACGGGGACUGAGACACGGCCCAGACUCCUACGGGAGGAAGCAGUAGGGAAUCUUCUGCAAGGGACGAAAGUCUGACCGAGCAACGCGGCGUGAGUGAAGAAGGUUUCCGGUUCGUAAAACCCGGUUGGUAGAGAAGCGGUAUCUAACCAGAAAGCCACGGCUAACUACGGGCCAGCAGCCGCGGUAAUAC